rnacentral:rRNA from 1 species
GGAUGACACUUUUCGGAGCGUAAACUCCUUUUCUUAGGGAAGAAUUCUGACGGUACCUAAGGAAUAAGCACCGGCUAACUCCGUGCCAGCAGCCGCGGUAAUACGGAGGGUGCAAACGUUACUCGGAAUCACUGGGCGUAAAGGGCGCGUAGGCGGAUUAUCAAGUCUCUUGUGAAAUCUAAUGGCUUAACCAUUAAACUGCUUGGGAAACUGAUAAUCUAGAGUGGGGGAGAGGCAGAUGGAAUUGGCGGUGUAGGGGUAAAAUCCGUAGAUAUCACCAAGAAUACCCAUUGCGAAGGCGAUCUGCUGGAACUUAACUGACGCUAAGGCGCGAAAGCGUGGGGAGCAAACAGGAUUAGAUACCCUGGUAGUCCACGCCCUAAACGAUGUACACUAGUUGUUGGGGUGCUAGUCAUCUCAGUAAUGCAGCUAACGCAUUAAGUGUACCGCCUGGGGAGUACGGUCGCAAGAUUAAAACUCAAAGGAAUAGACGGGGACCCGCACAAGCGGUGGAGCAUGUGGUUUAAUUCGAAGAUACGCGAAGAACCUUACCUAGGCUUGAUAUCCAACAAAUUCUGUAGAGAUACGGAAGUGCUAGCUUGCUAGAAUGUUGAGACAGGUGCUGCACGGCUGUCGUCAGCUCGUGUCGUGAGAUGUUGGGUUAAGUCCCACAACGAGCGCAACCCACGUAUUUAGUUGCUAACAGUUAGGCUGAGCACUCUAAAUAGACUGCCUUCGUAAGGAGGAGGAAGGUGUGGACGACGUCAAGUCAUCAUGGCCCUUAUGCCUAGGGCGACACACGUGCUACAAUG